rnacentral:tRNA from 1 species
GCGGGCGUGAUGUAACGGCAGCAUCCGACCCUUCCAAGGUCGUCGCGCGGGUUCGAAUCCCGCCGCCCGCU